GCUUUCAUUUCUUACCUCAAUCACUAUAUUUGGUUAAACUGGGCUUCUGCCUAUAAACAAGUUCUUGCUCAGAGUCUCAAUGCUUCUUUCUGCCUAUUCCUAGAAAUCUCUUUCUAAGACUCCAAGGGCUUUCUCUAUGACUGAACUCAAAUUUCUUCUCAGAUGUCAACUUCUGGGAACAACAGAUCUAUAACAGAGACAUCCUGGUUGCCACUUGCUUGGUUUCUUUUUGCAGCUUUUAUCACUUUCUGCAUUCAGUUUACAAUCUAUCUUGCCAUUCCUUUGAGGGCAGAAUAUUAGUGCUGUAUUUCUAAGGCUUAGAACACUUUCUGAUGCACAAAAGACAUUCAAAAAAUACUUGAUCAAGAAAUAAAGGAGGAAGAAAGGGAGGGAAGAGGGAAGAAAGGAAGGAGGGAGUGGAAAUGAAAGAAAGAAAAAAAGAGAAGAAAGAAGAUAGGUUUUAAAUUUAAAAAAAAAAGCAAUUCAGAGAUUAUCUUCUUUCAUAAAUUUAUUACCCAAGAGGAAGAAAUGAAGAUGUAUCAACGUAUCAAGAAAGUACAGGUAUGGAAUAUGUUUGGCGAAUCCCGUUCUUUGAAGUCAGGCACAAGCCUUCGUCUUUCUUUUGCCAACUGAAUCUGAAAGAAAGCUUUGUGUUACACUUUGGAGAGCCAAACCAGUUAAGAGUUAGUGUGCAGUUUGGCUUAUUGCCACAAUGACUGGUAAGGUUCUUGAUGUUAGAGGCUUUCAUCAGCCUGGGUCCACGUGGUACAAAUGAGAAAUAAACCCGUGUUGUUUUAACUACUGAGAUUUGGACAUGGCUUGAACUUUAUCAUAAAGAGCUUAUCCUGAAAAAAAGCAAACCAAUCUGAUGCUAUUUACGGCGGAGGAUUCUGAGUCAACCUGAGGAAUGGAAAUGAUUUCAUCUGUAAUCUUCUGGUGCCAUGAGCCUCAUAUGUUGCCUAAUUAACUCAUCUUUAUCUGAUUAUGCCUUACCAAAAUACCUUCCACGAGAACUUUUCUUACCAGAUUAUCAUCCCAAGGAAGGAACAGCAAGAAUCAUAAGUUUAAGCCUGAUAGCUGGGGCAUCAAGCCCUAUAUACCAUGACCACCCAUUCUGAACUAAGUUUGCUAGAAAGAAGCCAGCAUAAAAUCUUGAAAAGGAAAAAGCAUUAAUUAAAUCCAUCUGUCUGGUGAAUUAA